rnacentral:lncRNA from 1 species
GCACUGCAGUACCUGGAGUACAUCUCUUGAAGAGAUAGCUGUGCUGAAAUAGAAAACCAAACUAUAAAUGGAGGCAUUCCAAGAAGUAAAAAUUGUGCUAAAUACAAAGUUGGAAUAUAGAAUUACCACAACAUGGGAGAGUUUAUCAGCACUGCACAGGCCUGUGACUCUCAAGUUUAAACCUGGGGUUCAAGACUUAUUGAUGGAAGUGAAUACUCCUUUCUGUGAUGUUCCCCAGCACUGCCAGGGGAAGCAGGACAGCCUUUUGAUGAACUCUUGGAGUAGGAAGGCGUUAUUAACCUUAUUUCAGGCUGAAGAAAAUUUGGCAGAACGUACUGAAAUAAAUCAGCAGCACUGCAAAGAAAAAGACUGAAGCUGGCAUGCUGAAAUUUGGGCUUGUGGCCUUGUAUUUGGAGGCCCAGCAGGUGUAUUUUGAGUCCUUCCAUGUAAAAAAAUGUGAUCCUAGAAUAGCACUGCAUAUAUUCCACUCAGAUUAAUGAUCUCUAGGUAAUCAAAAACAUGGCCCUAUGCAGUUAAAUUCAACUCAGAUUAAUGAUCUCUAGGUAAUCAAAAACAUGGCCCUAUGCAGUUAAAUGUCAUCUGGACCUAAGUUAGGAGCACUAGAUUUCUUUUAAUGACAGGAGACUUUAAAUCAAGAAGUGCUUGGUCAAAAGCUCUAUUGAAGAUUGUUUUCUGUGGAUGUGUAUCUUAUGGCUGAUGGCUCCAUUAAGUGAGUGGUGCAAACACAUCUUCUAGUCUCAAGCUUCUUUUUACUUUUGCCUCUGGUGAAUGCUCAAGAAUACAGAGGUUAUUAUAACAAGACAGUAGUAGCUUGAAUAAAAAGUUAGAGGUCAAAAAGAGUAAGCUUACUUACUUUGAUGAAUUUGCUAAGAAAAGUAUAUGUGACUUUGGCACAUUUUUUUUCUGGCCAAUUUGUUUGAGGGGAAGUUACAGAAUCAAAAGUUUUGAAAAGUGUGACACACCA